rnacentral:snRNA from 1 species
AUUCAUGCCUUGCAGGAGAAAUACCAUUUCAUAAAAGUGGUUUUCCCAUGGGGGAGGCUCAUCCAUUGCACUUUGGGUGUGUUGCUGAUCCUUGUGAUUUCCCCAAAUGUGGGGAACUCAGUUGCAUAAUUUGUGUUAAUAGGGGAUUACCUUUUGGUUCCUGG